AGUUCGUUGCAUUCGGUUGGCUUUUCUCAAGUGCGCGGAGAUUGUUGUUGUGCGAAGGUUAGCACUCCACGAGGCCGGUUUGCCCUUAACUAAAUCUCGACUUCGACGUGCGGUUUAUGCGAAAGCGGGUUGUUUCUAGUUGUUUAUAAAGUGUACCGUGGAGCAACCGAGCGCAUCCGGUUGAAUCGGAUCGACUCGGAUUGUGGGCUGCAGUUUUGCGCCAAGUGUUAACCACGCACCGGUGUGAAGUUUUGAAUUUGCCAAUGCAAAAAGUUUCGUUUACAAAAGCAGCAGUGCUGCGAUGGGUUUGAAGUGAGGAACGGGUUUGAAUUGAGACAAGCCACAACCGGUCCUCGGCAACCGGUUCUCCGGUCAACAUCCGGUCAGCUUACCCUUGACAUAGCAGACAUGCGUGACGAAUGAUCGUCGCUGCUAGAUCAGCGAUUGAGUGUGUGUCAGCUCACGUAGUAGUAAAACGCGAUAUGCAUCGCCCGGACGAUUGAUGAUCGCAUUACGCGCCCAUUGAUAGGUCCAUUUCAUUCAGCUGAUUUUGUUAUUAUUUUUGUCGCUCAACCAUCACAGGCUUAAUGACUCGACUUGAUACACCUAAAACUAAAGCCGUUACAAAUGUGAUCGAUGGUUUGUUUGGAUUAAAAAAAAAUAAACAAACACAAAACGGAAACGGAAUGAAGCUGAAAACAGCUGAUUGACCAUCACAUGGCGACCGUUAAAAACCGAUGAAAAGUGAGAUUAGAUUAGUCUCAGUGAAAGUGUCAACUACAGUUUACCAGGUCGUUUUAAAGAAAGCCAUUGGUCAACGAAUUUGUUCAGCGACAACGACCACACACUCACACAACAGGGCGACCAAUUGGAAAAGUUUGCGUGCAAAAUUACACCAAAACGGAUUACUAAAAACAUCGCUGAGUUGAAAGUUAAGUCAGUUGUCUAACUUGAAGAAGAAAAAAACACCAAACCAAAAGACGAAGAAGAAAACUCAUGUAAUUGAAAUUUAAAAUUGGAUGAGCCGCCGAGCAGUUUGUGUAAUAUUAGGUGAUUGGAAUUCUCCACAUUCAAUUCGUUCACAAUCCGGAAGAAUUGAUCAUUGGAGGAGCUGCCUCCUACUGCCUAGUUAUCAAGCGCUUGCAAUCUUAUCUCCGUCGUCGUCGUCGAAGGUUCACCCAGGGGAAGACCCGCAGAGCAGAAAAGUGAGAGAUAAAACGAAGGGAAAAAAUAUACCCGCGGUAAAGUGUUUGUGGGGAGUGAUUUUUUUUCGUUUUGGAACCCAAUCGACACGCAACCGAUUCAGCUGGUUUGUUGAGGUUCCUACAAGUAGGUAGUGAAGAACGACAUCUCUGACGAAGACAACCAGAUAGCAGAAGCAGAUACCCAAUUGUGGCGCCCAAAAGGAAAGGGGAAAGAUCGUCGUGACAUCGGAAGUGAGAAGCAGGCAGGGCACUUCAGUAGAGAGUGUUGCAAAAGUGAUUGUUUUCGUUGUCACAGUGAAGAAAAAACGACGAAUUGAAUCGCACUUUUUUGUCUGUUACUCCUAUUCUCUCUUGCUUCAGUUCAGCUCGACUGGCAGCGGCGACGUGAAUGAGGUAAUACAUUUCGAUGUAAAAUAUGCAUUACUAGCUAAAGGGGGAGUUCAUUGUGAGAGUGUGCCUCUAGUGGUUUUUUUUCUGAUGCUGUUCAAGUUUUGGCUUGGGUCCAAAAGUUGUUGAAAUCACGCACAGAUAGAUGGUUGUGACCGCGGAGCUAAUCCGAGAAGCUGUGUGAUUGGGUGAUAAUCUAUUGGGAGUUACGAGCUAUUGAGCUAGUGUGAAGUUAACGACAAGGUGUAGUAGUUCCUCAAGCGAUAAGCAAUCAGCUGAAGCAACACAAGCGGAAACGGAUCUUGUUUUUAUGAAAGAGAGGUCACAACCGGAAAACCAUAGAAUUACAAAUUGACCUCGAAUAAUUGGUGGGAUUAAAAGAAAAAAAAUCUAAGAAAGAGUAAAAUAGUGAUUGAAGCCGGUCCCCCCUGUGAGAUUUGUGUUGUGAAGAGAGUUGUCUCAGAGUUAUCGGAUUGCAAACUGGUUUCUCGUCAUCCCCUAUCUGUAGAACCAGUAGCAGAACGCGGUUUCGCGCUUUCAUUAAGCAAAGAAACGAGUUUUUUUUGCUGCCGAGGACUGAAACAGAAACGUUCUGUUGAUCUACGAUAAAAAAAAAAGGGAUAACACUACAUCGAAAAGUUCUCUUCAUCUCGUGGACAAAAUCACUGACAGCAACCAACCAGCUCGAAACCGUUUUAUCGCCACCGCUGUUGUUCUCCUCGACCCAAUAAGAAACGCACAUCACAAGCAGCUGAUCCGUUCCGAAGAGACCUGGUCACAUACCCGAAAAAUAAAAAUCACCCAACGACGAAUCAAUUAAGAUGUUCCCAAGCAUGUCUUCUGCGACGUCGUCUUCGGUCACAAAUCUCUCAAAUCAGGCACCGCUACUGCUUCCGACGUCCUCCCGGAACCAUCGCCGGACACCUUCGGAACGCAGUACCUAAAUUGGGUGAAUCUUCCUCUUCUAAACAUAAGAGCAACGAAGAAGUGCGAUUUCGCGAUCACCUCAAAGCACCCAAACGGCCAAGUGCUAAUGUAAUUAGUAAACUUCCCGAAGCCAAUACUGGCCCACGAGGCGUACGGUACGUUUUGGGUGAUCUUCACGACGAAGCUCGCUGAGGCGUAACUGUUAAGCCGAAAUUUCGCGCCUCGAUCGCGUCUCUCCAAGCCACACUGGAACUGGAGCAGCAAACGCAUCGUCAUUAGCACCACACCACAUCACAUCACAGAAAGGCGUCGAAGAUCCACAAUAGAAAAAAAAUAAAGCGCGAGAAAUUUCGAACCGACAACGGCACCCAUUGAUCUUCACCAGCAUCGACUGAAGGAAAAACUUUACGCCCGAAGAUCCGAGGUUGAGGCGCUUCGACGCAUCGACGUAAUCGCGCGCACCAAACGAGGGAAAUCAUUGCUGGCGUCGUCAAAUCGACGCGCACCAAUCUCAUCGCAAAAAAAAAAACAACAUUAAGAGCAAAAGCAGCAAAAACAGCAGAAACGGUACUGGCGUCGCCGUCGUCUCUGGCCAAAAGUUGAGCUUCGAUAUCGCCAAAAUGGAGCACUCGGAUUUAGUUUCCGAGAUGGCUCAGAUCGAGCAUCUGUCGACGCAGGACCGGCUGCACCUGGCGCGGAUGUAAGUUUUGCUUGUUUUGGGGGGUUCUUCCGAAUUUCGCGUCGCGGUGGGACCUCUUUCGAAAAACAAUAAAAAAAACGAAUGAAAAAAGGGGACACAACGCAGGAGGUGCUGCUGCAACGAUCCGGGAAAAUCCGCUGAGAUUUUCGGGGAAGACCCGUUGCUGCGUUUACUUAAGUGUGUGUGUUUUUGUGCUCUUUCUUGUUUUUAAUUUCUCAAAACCGAAGGAAAAGUACCGACCUUCCAAAGCAAUGAAUGGGUGAAUCAGUGAUCUUGGUGAAAUUUUUCAAACCUUAGAGGAGAAGGCAAAUGGAAAAAGAAGUUAAAUUUAUGAUCGAUAUCGCGCCGCCGCCGAAAGUGUUUCAUUUAUAUGGUUCAAUUCGAUAGCUAUAGCGAUCGUGAUCAUCAUCAACAACCGAUGAAGAUGUGAAGAUUGGAAAGAUUGGAGUUUUACUCGCGAACAUCUUUAUUGGGGCCCUCGUCUGGAUUGGUUUGCUGCUGGAAUUAGUUCGACCGGAAGAUGAUUGAUGGAUGAUGUUCUUGGUUUUUGGAAAAGCAGUUUUAAUUGGGAUCUUUAGCAUGAUACGGAU